CCGCUUCUACGACCGGCAGCCCACGGAGGAGGAGUACCUUGCGCUGUGCCUCGUCAUGCUCGCGCGCGGCGGGCCGGCGGAGCGGGCGCCGCCGCCGCGGGCGACUUCGCCGGAGAAGCUUCCCCACAAGUGCAACGUCUGCGGGAAGGCGUUUCCGUCGUACCAGGCCCUGGGGGGCCACAAGGCCAGCCAUCGGAGGCUCGUCACCGGCGCUGAAGACGGCGUCUCUUCCUCGGGUGCCACCGCCUCCGCCUCGUCGGGCUCCGCCGCCGCGGUGGCGGCGCCGCCGGGCGGCGGCCGGGUUCACCAGUGCUCCAUCUGCCUCAGGUGCUUCCCCUCUGGGCAGGCCCUCGGGGGGCACAAGAGGCUGCACUACGACGGCGGCACCACCGCUCACAACGCCACCGGCGCCGCCGUGUCCUCGUCCUCCGGCACCAGCUCCACUCUCAGGAACUUCGACCUGAAUCUCCCGGCCUUGCCGGAAUUCCUCGCCGACGGCGCCGCCACCGCCCUGCGGCGGUGCGUGGCGGCGGAGGAGGAUGAGGUCCAGAGCCCGCUGGCCUUCAAGAAGCCUCGCCUCCUGAUUCCUGCCUAGGAGUUGACCAGCACUCCUCGCCGCUUGUUUCCCCAUUCUUUCUCUCUCUAGGAACCGUUGCCUGAUGUCGGCAACUCCUUUCUGUACAAAGAAUCGAAUUCGUUCUUUGUAGAACCCUAAUUCUUUCUCGAUUUGUUUGAAGUUAUAAGAAUUAUAUUUCUGAAAUCGAUUCA
rnacentral:lncRNA from 1 species